rnacentral:lncRNA from 1 species
GGAUCUCCAAGUUUAGGUCGUCUCCCUCUCGAUCUUCAAGAGGUAAGAGCCGAUCUUAAGCUCCUUAUGUGUUUUAAAUAAGUUUUAUGCUAGAUCUAUGGGUAGAAAUGCAUGUUAGGGUAUAUGUUGAGUUUAUGGGUUAAUAUUGAUGUUUUGAGCAAUGUAUGUUGAUUUUUGUGUGUUUGAAGUGUUGUAGUUGGGGUAUAUGAUAGUUUGAGACCCCUAGGUGUAAUGUAUGUGAAGUAUGCAUGUUGUAGAACAAGAUUAUGCAUGAUGGGAGGUUUUGGGAGGCAAGAGGUUCGUUUGAACCAAGUUUCUGCCCUUUGGCAGAAACCAGGUUCGGCAGCCGAAGGGAGUUUCGGCCGCCGAACCCCCUUUGUGGAGGCAGCAUUCGACUGCCGAAGUUGCCCCCGAAUUGAGACUUUCGUCUCUGUCUGGGAGGUUCGGCCGCCGAAGGUGCCGCCGAACCUGCCUGACUUUCGGCUCUGGAGGGACUUUCGGCCGCCGAACCUGCCGCCGAAAGUGCCCUGUUCAGCCAUUUCUUGCAUGUUUUUAUGUGAUUAUUUCAUGAUGUUUUAGGGGGUUUUUGGGGAGUAGAUUAGAGUUAUGUUCAUAAUGUUAGGUCCCUCAUUUGAGUCUACCUGUGUAGGUUCGGACCCGAGGAACCGAGGGCCCCAGCAGUGAGAUAGCUGCUUCAGAGUCUGUAGAGCUUCAGCCAGAGGUGAGUAGAAUAAACUCUUAACUUUUCAAUUAAAGAAGUAUAAGUUUUUGAGCAUGUUCAUGCAUCAUGAAUGCCAUGUGAUAUUAGGUUGUUUGCAUUAGUAUUCACGAAUAUGUUGCAUUGCAUAAUAUGAUGUGGAUGCGGAUUGGCUAUUGGAUGAUCCUCUAGUCCUCCUAUGGUAUGAUAUGAUGAUGAUACGGUACGGAUUACCAGUGAGGCCCAUUCUACGCCCCUGGACUAUGUUAAGAGAAAGACCAGUGAGGCCCAUUCUACGCCCCUGGCAUAUUGGAAUGUUAUGUUAUGUUAUGUAUGUAAGAGAAAGACCAGUGAGGCCCAUUCUACGCCCCUGGCACGAUUGGACUAUGUUGAGGACUAUAGGUGACAGUACCAUCCUUAUGUGAUAUGUUUGUGAUGUGUUGCAUUUCAUGGAAGCAUGAAAUAUUUUAAUAUAUGUUUUCUCUAUUCUGCUCACUGGACUUUGUAGCUCACCCCUCUCCCCUAACCCCAGAUGUGCAGGUACAGGGUAGAUCAGGAG